rnacentral:rRNA from 1 species
AUUGAACGCUGGCGGCGUGCCUAACACAUGCAAGUCGAGCGGUAAGGCCCUUUCGGGGGUACACGAGCGGCGAACGGGUGAGUAACACGUGGGUGACCUGCCUUUAGCUCUGGGAUAAGCCUGGGAAACCGGGUCUAAUACCGGAUAUGACUCCGCGGCGCAUGUUGUGGGGUGGAAAGCCUUGUGCGGCUGGAGAUGGGGCCCGCGGCCUAUCAGCUUGUUGGUGGGGUGAUGGCCUACCAAGGCGACGACGGGUAGCCGGCCUGAGAGGGCGACCGGCCACACUGGGACUGAGACACGGCCCAGACUCCUACGGGAGGCAGCAGUGGGGAAGUCUUGCGCAAUAGGGCGAAAGCCUGACGCAGCGACGCCGCGUGAGGGAUGACGGCCUU